rnacentral:lncRNA from 10 species
ACUCAGAGAGCCUGGAGAGGGGCAGGGGAGAGGGCAGAGCCUACCCAGCCAGGUCAAGUUCCCACAGUUCUCCAGCCGCCUUUUGGUGAAGAGCUAGAUGCAUCCAUUUCCUCCUUGUGAAAUAUGCAGCCACGUCAUCAAAUGUCACUGACCCCUGAAAUAAUACGUGGGUGUGGGGAAAAAGGCACUGCUAGAGAUCAAUUUAAGACAAGGCAAAAAUAGUUUUGUUUUUUUUUAAGAGAUGGAGUCUCGCUCUUUCGCCCAGGCUGGACUGCAGUGGCGCUAUCUCGGCUCACUGCAAGCUCCGCCUCCCGGGUUCAUGCCAUUCUCCUGCCUCAGUCUCCUGAGUAGCUGGGAUUACAGGCGCCCGCCACCGUGCCCGGCUAAUUUUUUUGUAUUUUUAGUAGAGACGGGGUUUCACCGCGUUAGCCAACAUGGUCUCAAUCUCCUGACCUCGUGAUCCGCCCGCCUCGGCCUCCCAAAGUGCUGGGAUGGGUCCACCGGCUGCCGCGCCCGGCCAAAAAUACUUUUAAGUUACAGAAAAAAAUAGAUGGAAUUCACUACCCUCAGUAAUGUAACUGGGAUCAAGCAGAGUGAUAAAAAUUACUGGAGG